rnacentral:misc_RNA from 1 species
UUAAGUUCAGCGGGUCUUCCUACCUGAUCCGAGGUCAACCUUUGGUAUGUGGGGGGUUUAACGGCCGGCGCCCGCGGCACGCCCGGAGCGAGAUGUGUUACUACGCUCGGGGUGACAGCGAGCCCGCCACUGGUUCAGGCCGUGCGCGCCGGAGCCGCAGGUCCCCAACACAAGCCGUGGGCUUGAUGGUUGAAAUGACG